rnacentral:rRNA from 1 species
CCUACGGGAGGCAGCAGUGAGGAAUAUUGGUCAAUGGACGCGAGCCUGAACCAGCCAAGUCGCGUGCAGGAUGACGGCUCUCUGGUUUGUAAACUUCUUUUAUAUGGGAAUAAAGUGAGGCACGUGUUCCUUUUUGUAUGUACCCUAUGAGUAAGCAUCGGCUCACUCCGUGCCAGCAGCCGCGGUAAUACGGAGGAUGCGAGCGUUUUCCGGAUUUAUUUGGUGUAAAGGGUGCGUAGGUGGUUACUUAUGUCAGCGGUGAAAGUUUGAGGCUCCACCAUAUACUUGCCGUUGAAACUGGCGGACUUGAGUAUAUACGAGGUAGGCGGAAGGCGUGGUGUAGCGGUGAAAUGCAUAGAUAUCAUGCAGAACUCCGAUUGCGAAGGCAGCUGACCAAAGUAUAACUGACACUGAAGCACGAAAGCGUGGGUAUCAAACAGGAUUAGAUACCCGAGUAGUC